GACGUAGGGCGCGAGCGUUGUCCGGAUUUAUUGGGCGUAAAGAGCUCGUAGGCGGCUUGUCGCGUCGACUGUGAAAACCCGCGGCUCAACUGUGGGCUUGCAGUCGAUACGGGCAGACUGGAGUACUGCAGGGGAGACUGGAAUUCCUGGUGUAGCGGUGGAAUGCGCAGAUAUCAGGAGGAACACCGGUGGCGAAGGCGGGUCUCUGGGCAGUAACUGACGCUGAGGAGCGAAAGCGUGGGGAGCGAACAGG
rnacentral:rRNA from 1 species